rnacentral:rRNA from 1 species
GUUAUAGGGACAAGUGAAUAAGUGCACAUGGUGGAUGCCUUGGCGAUUACAGGCGAUGAAGGACGUAGUAGCUUGCGAUAAGCUGCGGGGAGCUAGCAAACGAGCUUUGAUCCGCAGAUUUCCGAAUGGGGAAACCCGGCCUUUUAGGUCAUUGCAUGCUGAAUACAUAGGUAUGCAAAGCGAACGCGGCGAACUGAAACAUCUAAGUAGCUGCAGGAAAAGAAAUCAACCGAGAUUCCCAAAGUAGUGGCGAGCGAAAUGGGAUGAGCCUGUGUGUGAUAGUCGAUUGAAUAGUGGAA